rnacentral:rRNA from 1 species
GGUGACGCUCCCUACGGGCUUACACAUGCAAGUCGAGGCGAAACGGCAUUGAGUGCUUGCACUCUUUGGACGUCGACCGGCCCACGGUUGAGUACCGCGUGUCCAACCCCCCCAUUACUGUGGGAUAACCUGCCAAACGGCAUACUAUUGCCGCAUAGGCUUCGAUGAUGGCAUCAGAUUUAAAGAUAAACUAUCGGUACGGGAUGGGGUUCCCCCUGAAAACUUGUUGGCGGGGUAACCGCCCUCCAACUCCACGUUGUAGGCGGCACGUGUGGAGGUCCGCCUCUGGGGGACUGAAAAAGGGGCCCGCCCCAACGUAAGCCUAUUAAAAAAAUGGGGUAAUGAACGGGAGUGCUUGUGGCCAGGGGGGUGGGGAAGAGGGCCCUUGGUUGAGACGAUUUUGAUUGGGGGAUUUUGGGGUUUGUAGGCGUUUGGGUCACCGGAUGGUAUUGCGCAUUUCAUGUGGGGUGGUGAGGAUUGGAAUGACAAUGUUGCCAAAAUUUGUGGUUUAAAAGGCUUUGAGAAAAUAAUGGGGUAAAUUGAAGAGUGCAAAGAAGGUUCGAUGUUCGCAUCAGUGAGGAGGACAUAGGUGUGGUCGUGGCGUUGAAAUUGGAAUAUAUUUUGUUCCGUUUUUGAUUGGUGGGGGUUUGUGGGUGGUGGGUGUUUUGUGUGAAAUGACGUUUGUGUGGUGGUGGCGUGUGGGGUGGGUUGGUGUGCGUGUGGAUCAGACUGUGUAUGAUGUUAUGAUGUUUUUGACUUGCACAGCUGCUGUUUGUAACCCUCUGUCGUAAUUAAUGUAGAUUGUAAAAUAAAUGUGUGUGUGUUUUUGUGUUUGUGUGUGUGUUGUGUGUGAUUGGUGUAUGCUGUGAAGUUGUGUGUGU